GGGAGUAUAGUUCAGUGGUAGAGUGCAUGCUUAGCAUGUAUGAAGUCCUGGGUUCAAUCUCCAGUACCACCA
rnacentral:tRNA from 1 species